rnacentral:rRNA from 1 species
GAAGAACACCGGUGGCGAAGGCGCUCUGCUAGGCCGUAAUUGACACUGAGGGACGAAAGCUAGGGGAGCGAAUGGGAUUAGAUACCCCGGUAGUCCUAGCCGUAAACGAUGGAUACUAGGCGUUGCGAGUAUCGACCCUCGCAGUGCCGGAGCCAACGCGUUAAGUAUCCCGCCUGGGGGAGUACGGCACGCAAGAUGUAGAAACUCAAAGGAAUUGACGGGGGGCCUCGCACAAGCGGUGGAGCUAUGUGGUUUAAUUCGAUGCAACGCGCAAGAACCUUACCAAGACUUGACAUGUCGCGAAUCCUCUUGAAAGGGAGGAGUGCCUUAUGGAGCGCGAACACACGUGGUGCAUGGCUGUCGUCAGCUCGUGUCGUGAGAUGUUGGGUUAAGUCCCGCAACGAGCGCAACCCUCGUUUUUAGUUGCCAGCAUUAAGUUGGGCACUCUAUAGAGACUGCCGGUGACAAACCGGAGGAAGGUGGGGGAUGACAUCAAGUCAGCCUGCCCCUUACGUCUUGGGGCUACACACGUACUACAAUGCUACGAACAGAGGGCAGCAAGCUAGCGAUAGCAAGCAAAUCC